rnacentral:rRNA from 1 species
UACGAAGGGGGCUAGCGUUGUUCGGAAUUACUGGGCGUAAAGCGCACGUAGGCGGAUAUUUAAGUCAGGGGUGAAAUCCCAGAGCUCAACUCUGGAACUGCCUUUGAUACUGGGUAUCUCGAGUAUGGAAGAGGUAAGUGGAAUUCCGAGUGUAGAGGUGAAAUUCGUAGAUAUUCGGAGGAACACCAGUGGCGAAGGCGGCUCUCUGGGACGGUACUGACGCUGAGACGCGAAAAGCGUGGGGAGCGAACAGG